rnacentral:rRNA from 1 species
UACGUAGGGUGCAAGCGUUGUCCGGAAUUAUUGGGCGUAAAGAGCUCGUAGGCGGUUUGUCGCGUCUGUCGUGAAAACUGGAGGCUCAACCUCCAGCCUGCAGUGGGUACGGGCAGACUAGAGUGCGGUAGGGGAGAUUGGAAUUCCUGGUGUAGCGGUGGAAUGCGCAGAUAUCAGGAGGAACACCAAUGGCGAAGGCAGAUCUCUGGGCCGUAACUGACGCUGAGGAGCGAAAGCAUGGGGAGCGAACAGG